GUCUCGCCCCAGAGGGGCAGGCGGUGCAGUGUGGGAGCGGGCCAGGGCCGCCAUUUUGUGGAGGGAGGGAGCACUGCGCGAGGGCAAGAUGUUGUCGAACGCGCAGCUCCUGGACGAGCUGAUGGGCCGAGACCGCAAUCUCGCCCCGGACGAGAAGCGGCAAAACGUUCAUUGGGAUGACGAGAGUGUGAGUCCGGGGAGAGCGGUGUGUAAAUAUUUCCUGUGCGGAUUUUGUCCAGCGGAGUUAUUCACUAACACCCGCUCUGAUCUGGGUCCGUGUGAAAAGAUCCAUGAUGACAACCUGCGGAAAUAUUAUGAGAAGAGCUCCCGCUUUAUGAAGGUGGGCUACGAGAAGGACUUCCUGCGCUAUUUGCAGAACCUGAUGGCAGACGUGGAGCGGCGGAUUCGCAGGGGCCAUGCCCGACUGGCGCUGUCCCAAAAUGCAACGACAGGAGCCACAACUGGAGGACCUGUCAGCAAGAAUGAGGAGAAAGGUCAGGUGUUAACGGAGAAAAUUGAGGAGCUGCUGGAGCAGAUCGAGGAGCUGGGCUCUGAAGGGAAGGUGGAGGAGGCCCAGGGGAUGAUGAAGCUGGUGGAACAGCUGAAAGAUGAACGAGAGCAGCUGCGCUCGGCCAGCUCCACCAUAGAAAGCUUUGCGGCCCAGGAGAAGCAGAUGGAGGUGUGUGAAGUGUGUGGGGCAUUCCUCAUCGUGGGGGAUGCACAGUCCCGGGUCGAUGAUCACUUGAUGGGGAAACAGCACAUGGGAUACGCCAAGAUCAAAGCCACGGUGGAGGAGUUGAAGGAGAAGUUGAGGAAGAAGACUGAAGAGCCAGAGCGCGACGAUAAGCUAAAGAAAGAGAGAGAAGAGCGUGAGCUAGAGCGGGAACGGGAAAGAGAGGAACGUGAGAAGAAGCGGCGCCGUGAGGAGGAAGAGAAGGAAAAGGAGCGGGAGAGGGAGCGGGAGGCCAGGCGCAGGCCUAGCCCCUCGCGCAGUCGGCACUCGCACUCGGGGCGAGCAUCCGACAGACGGAGAAGCCGCUCGCGGGAUCGCAGACGGUCACGGAGCAAGGAGCGUGAAAAGAAGCGCAGCAGGGGGGAGGAGCGUAGGAGCAGGGACCGGUCUGAGCGAGGAGAGGAGCGUAGGAGCAGGGACCGGUCAGAAAGGAAACACCGCUCCCGCAGCAGAGACCGCCGCAGAUCCCGAAGCCGAGACUUAAAGUCACACAAACAGAGGAGCCGGAGCAGGGAGAAAGAGCGGAGAUCAAAGGAUAAAGAGCGGAGAGACUCUGACCAGGUGAAAAGCAGCCGGAGGCCCUGCCACAGCGACAAGGAGCCGGCGGCAGCCGAGGCCACGCCCAUGGAGGUGGAGGCCGCGAAGAGCGAGGUUAAUGGGAGCGGGGAAGAUCUAAUAUCUGAAGGUGACACUCAGUCCAAUUAAAACUGAUCUGAUUUGACCUCAGAUCAGGCGAAGCGUUGGUGUUGUGAGCCGCCCAUGAAAAAGCAAAUUAAAAAUCACGGACUCAGUCACUCAUUGCAGGGUCAGCCAACAGAAGACAUCACGGCAGCUGGUGAAGAUGAGACGGCCUGACCCGAAGCCUCUGCCCAGUUCAUACAAGGUGAAAGCAAGCUGUGUAGUGGUGUAGAGAAAGCGGGGGAGAGAGAUCGAGGGAAAGACAAAUUAUCAUUUUUAGGGGAAAAUUUACAAAUUCAUUUCGGGACUAUUAUGUACAUGUUUAGCUGCCCACAAUUUCCAUGGCAUUUUGUUUGUUUGUGCUUGCGAAUACUCUUCACUUAAAAUGAACUUCAACCCUGUUUUUUUCCCAUGAAUGUGUCUGACAGGAGCAGUUACCUGAACCAUGUGAGCUGCUAAUGCGUAGUAAUGGCUCUCUCCUCCAAGGUUAAUUUAGUAGCGAAGCACUCUGUGUAAAUACAGACAGCGAUUACGUGUAUAGAGCUUUUUGAUGAUUAAGAAGCCGAUUCCUUCAGAGCUGCUCUGUGACAGACAACGUUUUUUUUUGGAUUUUGUGGCGGCCGUUUGCCGUCUCUGCCCGUCACUGGGUGGCAGGAUUCGGUGUUCACCAUUUUCCCUGCUUUUUCUGUGUUUUGAAAAUGGUUGCUGUAAUUUGCAAAUUUUAGUGUCGAAACAUGAAUAAAUCUUUUUUUCAGUAAAA